AGGCCUUGAGGGAAAUACAAAUUGUAAGUAAAUGUUUAUACAAAUAAAACUAUACUAUUUACAAAUAAGUAAUUUGAAAUCUCCUUAUUUGUUUUUAUUUUUUGGUAUACCCAACUUAUGAAAACUUAACAUUACGUUAGUUAUAGUUGGAUUUAUACAAUGAUCACAUUUCAAAAAUAGUUCAGUCCAGUUUCUUAUGGACUAUAUAAAAUUACUACCUGUUUAAUUUUACAAUUAAAAAUGUAUUGAGAUAUUUCAAAAUUAUUACAUUUUGUAUUUGUA